CCCGGGCCUUGUACACGCCGCCCGUCACACCAUGGGAGUGGGUUGUACCAGAAGUAGGUAGAAUAACCGCAAGGGGUUCGCUUACCACGGUAUGGUUCAUGACUGGGGUG
rnacentral:rRNA from 1 species